AGCACGUUGGCAGAAUAGUGCAACUGAUUUAGGAUCAGUUUAUGGAUAAUACCACGCGCUA
rnacentral:tRNA from 1 species